rnacentral:rRNA from 1 species
UACGUAGGGGGGCUAGCGUUGUCCGGAAUCAUUGGGCGUAAAGCGCGCGUAGGCGGUCCGAUAAGUCGGCUGUGAAAAGUCAGGGGGCUCAACCCUUGGAAGCCGGCCGAUACUGUCGGACUAGAGUCCGGAAGAGGCGAGUGGAAAUUUCCCCGGUGUAGCGGUGAAAAUGCGCAGAUAUCGGGAGGAACACCAAUGGCGAAGGCAGCUCGCUGGGGACGGUACUGACGCUAGAAGCGAAAAGCAUGGGGGAGCGAACAGGA